rnacentral:rRNA from 1 species
CCUACGGGUGGCUGCAGUGGGGAAUAUUGGGCAAUGGGCGCAAGCCUGACCCAGCAACGCCGCGUGAAGGAAGAAGGCUUGCGGGUUGUAAACGUCGUGUGACAGGGAAGAGGAGAAGACGGGACCUGUCGAAUAAGCCACGGCUAACUACGGGCCAGCAGCCGCGGUAAUACGGAGGUGGCAAGCGUUGUCCGGAUUUACUGGGUGUAAAGGGCGGGUAGCCGGGGGGACAAGUCAGAUGUGAAAUCCUGCGGCUUAACCGCAGAACUGCAUUUGAAACUGUUGAUCUUGAGUACUGGAGAGGCAGCCGGCAUUCCUCGUGUAGCGGUGACCUGCGUAGAUAUUAGGCGGCCCACCAGUGGCGCCGGCGGUCUGCUGCACAGCAACUGACGGUGAGGCGCGAACGCGUGGUGAGCACACAGGAUUAGAUACCCGGGUAGUC